rnacentral:rRNA from 1 species
ACGCUGGCGGCAGGCUUAACACAUGCAAGUCGAACGGUAACAGGAGAAAGCUUGCUUUCUUGCUGACGAGUGGCGGACGGGUGAGUAAUGCUUGGGAAUCUGGCUUAUGGAGGGGGAUAACGACGGGAAACUGUCGCUAAUACCGCGUAGAGUCGAGAGACGAAAGUGCGGGACCGCAAGGCCGCAUGCCAUAGGAUGAGCCCAAGUGGGAUUGGGUAGUUGGUGGGGUAAUAGCCUACCAAGCCGACGAUCUCUAGCUGGUCUGAGAGGAAGACCAGCCACACCGGGACUGAGACACGGCCCGGACUCCUACGGGAGGCAGCAGUGGGGAAUAUUGCGCAAUGGGGGCAACCCUGACGCAGCCAUGCCGCGUGAACGAAGAAGGCCUUCGGGUUGUAAAGUUCUUUCGGUAUUGAGGAAGGUUGUUGUGUUAAUAGCACGACAAAUUGACGUUAAAUACAGAAGAAGCACCGGCUAACUCCGUGCCAGCAGCCGCGGUAAUACGGAGGGUGCGAGCGUUAAUCGGAAUAACUGGGCGUAAAGGGCACGCAGGCGGACUUUUAAGUGAGGUGUGAAAUCCCCGGGCUUAACCUGGGAAUUGCAUUUCAGACUGGGAGUCUAGAGUACUUUAGGGAGGGGUAGAAUUCCACGUGUAGCGGUGAAAUGCGUAGAGAUGUGGAGGAAUACCGAAGGCGAAGGCAGCCCCUUGGGAAUGUACUGACGCUCAUGUGCGAAAGCGUGGGGAGCAAACAGGAUUAGAUACCCUGGUAGUCCACGCUGUAAACGCUGUCGAUUUGGGGAUUGGGCUUUAAGCUUGGUGCCCGAAGCUAACGUGAUAAAUCGACCGCCUGGGGAGUACGGCCGCAAGGUUAAAACUCAAAUGAAUUGACGGGGGCCCGCACAAGCGGUGGAGCAUGUGG